UACAGAGGUCCCGAGCGUUGUUCGGAUUGACUGGGCGUAAAGGGUGCGUAGGUGGCGAGGUAAGUCGGAUGUGAAAGCUCGGAGCUCAACUCCGAAAUGGCAUUGGAAACUACCUUGCUCGAGGGUUGGAGGGGGGACUGGAAUACUUGGUGUAGCAGUGAAAUGCGUAGAUAUCAAGAGGAACACCCAUGGCGAAGGCAGCAAACUGGGCAUCAACUGACGCUGAGGCGCGAAAGCGUGGGUAGCAAACAGG
rnacentral:rRNA from 1 species